ACUAUUAAUAAGUGAAGGCUUAGGUACGACGAAGGGUAUUUAAGUAAAUUUAAACUUCUUUUAUGGCUAAAUUCUAAACGUUUGUCUGUCUUGAAAAAUAAACAGUAUCCCACUAGAAGGUUCCAUUCUUUUACCACUUUAGUUUCCCUUUCAAUUUCCUCUCUUCCAUCCACCGUCUUCUCUCCUAAAUCAGAGUUUCUAUCACUGGAUCCUUUCAGAGAUUAUUCAUUUUGUGGCUAUCUUGCAAAGGCUAUUCGCUUCGUCUAAUGUUUCUGGUCCAAGCUCCAGUUGUCGUAAGUUUUCUUGCCAAUUAAUCUUUUCUUAUUCCACAUGUUUCUGGGUAAAAUUUUGUUAGAUUCUUACAUGUCUGUCAGUAUUUUCUUCCGAUCGUCACAUGCAUAUCUAGAAAUAGAUACUCAAUGCGUGUUUUGAUUAAUUCUCUAAUGGCUUAAUUGCUUGAGAAAAUUACUGAUCGAAAUCCUCUAAUAGCAAUUUGUCAGUAUUCUCGCUAUAAAAUGAGUACGACAAAAUUAGUACGUCUUCGAGAUUAUUUAAAGUAUCAAAUUUUUCUUGCUAAUUGUUGAUACGUGCCAAAUUCCGAUAUUUAGGUGAUAUCUUAAUUCUCAACCCCAGGUUUUUCCUUACAAGGAUGAAAAAUCAGUUUGCUUAAGGGCAACUCCAAUCUGGAUUUAUAUCAUCUGCUCAUUUUUUUUUUUGUUACGGAAGUGAGCUUCUUUAACAUAUGGGAUUCGAUAAAUGUAUCUUGAUGAUACGCGAUGAAGGAUUAUGGGAGGUGAAUAAUAUGGGAGAUAGUAAAGGAAGGCUUCCUUGCAAGUAAAAGCUUCCCCAAUGAAGAUUAUAUGGAAAAGGGAUUCUAAUCGGUUCGUUCUUGUGGCUGGAAUUAUUUGGGGUUGUCCUAUUCCUGUAGCAGAUAAUCCAAAAAAGAUUGAUAUAUCGAAAAGGAGAUCUCUAUAAAAGGGUGUCCAAUCGCUUUCUUACUUUAUGGAGGAUGUUACAAAGAAUCGAUGGAUCUCGCCUACCACUUCCAUUUGGAGGACAUACGGCAACUGGAAGAUGAGACCUUUAUAGCAAAACCAAAAAUGAAGGUGAACAUACCGGCUUAUCUAACUUAAUUUGAAACUUCAGCUGUUUCUGCACCUAUUUGUUGCAUUUUACCUGGGCCAGUUUCCUCUCCUUUAUUUAAACUUUGGUAAAGACUAAUUUUUGCUCAUAGGAGCAGCGAAAAAUGAUUUGAAAAUGAAAUCUACCUUAGCUUUGACUCUAUGUACUAUAUAUAACAUAUAUUUUAAGUAUAAAUCAGGUUUGGUACUAUCUUGCUCCUUAAUUACUUACUCUUUUGACAUGCGUUUGCAUAUUGCAAUCAAAGUAUUUUAAGUGUGUACCAAGUGAUAACAUCAUCAAAAUGGCUUGAAAAAGGUUGCUAUGCUCACCAAGUGAAUGUGAUUAUCUUCUGCUAAUAAAUGCAAUUGAUCAGGAAAGAGGAAUGAAAAUAUGUUACAUACUCAGGGCACCAUGUUUCUAAUUCCUGAGGAUUUGAUUCUUUUUGUUAUUCUCACAGUUCUUUUAAUGUAUAUAUGUGCUUGUUAAAAUAGUUCCUGUUCUUUUUCAACUAAUAAUUGAGCAAAGUCAAGAGUUUGUUGUUGUAAUAACAUGCUGGAAUGAACUUCGUUGUGACCCGAUUGCCAUUGUUUCCUAUUUUGUUUUUGAGACUCAUUACCAUUUCCUCUUCAAAGAACUGUUGCAGUAAAAAAAGACUUCAUUCCCGUAUUUUACUAAUUUUUAUACUUUAAUAGAUUAUAAAUGCUAUGGAUUUUAAUAUUUUAAUACAGACACUAUCAACAUUUUCUUAUUGUUUCUUCUACUGGAUUUUUUUUAGCGAUGUAAUAAGUUUUUUUUUUUCUUUUAUAAAACUUCUUGGCUUUCACGAAUUGAAGAUGUGACAUUAUUUUCUUUGAGAAAUCCUUCUGAGGUUCCUUCAUGCUUAAGUAUUUGUACAACUUCCUGGUGGAUGCUUCGCAUUCUUAGUAUUUACAAAUUUUAAUAUGUUAAAUCUUUCCCAUUUUAAAGAUCAUUCUACCGGAAACUUUUUAAGCUGUGCGUUUGCAAUCAUUGAAGAAAUCUACUGUGAGUUAGAGGGUUCAGCUGAAAAAUAAGUAGGUUUCCCUCAAUUUCAUGACCAUAUAUGCAAUCUGGGGCACUUGGUACCUCGAUGUCAUUGGUUCCCAUACCAUUGGGUGUGCACUCUAAUCCUUUUGUGUUUUAGCAUUCUUGUGUAGAAAUUUGCUAGAAACUUUUCAUAUUUAUGAUUAUGCGAUGCCAUCAGUAACAACACUUUUUGUCUAUAGGCACUGUCAGCAUUUCAAGACAAUGAGUAGUGAAGAAGUUGGAAUGGGAGGUUACCUUGGGUUAUGUGAUUCCUUUGAUCCUAACGUUCCAUUCUAACACAGCUUCCUGGUCCGUACUAUCACUGUUGUGAGGUUUGAUCUUUACCUUAUUAAAAAAAAAAGCUACUUUUUUCAUUCAAUUGAUGUUUUUUUAGUUUUUGUUUUGAUAUCAGUCAGAUGUGCCUCAGAUUAUUAUUAUUUUUUGGCGAAGCCUCAACUACUUUUUUUCCCUGCAAAAUAACCAGGGUUCAAAGCUUGCCCCACUUUCUCCUCCCGACAAUAUUUUACAAGUGCUAUUGAUUGUUCCUCGAGGAAAUAAGAUAUGAAAUAAGAUCAUAAAGCAAAGAGCAAUUGCAAAAAGGCAACUGAGGAAUGUUUUGGAAUACAAGCUUUAAGUAAUGUGGUCAUGAAAGAGUUUCAUUCGGCAACAACUUACUUUUGUUAUCAACCACGGUACAAUUUGUUAUCGGCAUAACUAUCAAAAUUCAAAUUCCAUGCCACUGUAACAUAUCUCAUACAUAUGUUGGUCCACCUAUAAUUCACUAUUUCUGUCAAGCUCACUGUAUAACU